AUUGAACGCUGGCGGCAGGCCAAACACAUGCAAGUCGAGCGGCAGCGGGAAAGUAGCUUGCUACUUUUGCCGGCGAGCGGCGGACGGGUGAGUAAUGCCUGGGAAAUUGCCCAGUCGAGGGGGAUAACAGUUGGAAACGACUGCUAAUACCGCAUACGCCCUACGGGGGAAAGCAGGGGACCUUCGGGCCUGGCGCGAUUGGAUAUGCCCAGGUGGGAUUAGCUAGUUGGUGAGGUAAUGGCUCACCAAGGCGACGAUCCCUAGCUGGUCUGAGAGGAUGAUCAGCCACACUGGAACUGAGACACGGUCCAGACUCCUACGGGAGGCAGCAGUGGGGAAUAUUGCACAAUGGGGGAAACCCUGAUGCAGCCAUGCCGCGUGUGUGAAGAAGGCCUUCGGGUUGUAAAGCACUUUCAGCGAGGAGGAAAGGUUGAUGCCUAAUACGUAUCAACUGUGACGUUACUCGCAGAAGAAGCACCGGCUAACUCCGUGCCAGCCGCCGCGGUAA
rnacentral:rRNA from 1 species